rnacentral:rRNA from 1 species
AGAGGGUGCAAGCGUUAAUCGGAAUUACUGGGCGUAAAGGGCGCGUAGGUGGUUUUAUAAGUUGGCUGUGAAAGCCCCGGGCUUAACCUGGGAGGGUCAGCCAAAACUAUAAGACUAGAGUACGGUAGAGGGUAGUGGAAUUUCCGGUGUAGCGGUGAAAUGCGUAGAUAUCGGAAGGAACACCAGUGGCGAAGGCGACUACCUGGACUGAUACUGACACUGAGGCGCGAAAGCGUGGGGAGCGAACAGGAUUAGAUACCCUGGGUAGUCCACGCCGUAAACGAUGAGAACUAGCCGUUGGGGACGUAAGUCUUUAGUGGCGCAGCUAACGCGAUAAGUUCUCCGCCUGGGGAGUACGGCCGUAAGGCUA